GAUGAACGCUGGCGGCGUGCCUAAUACAUGCAAGUCGAGCGAACAGAUAAGGAGCUUGCUCCUUUGACGUUAGCGGCGGACGGGUGAGUAACACGUGGAUAACCUACCUAUAAGACUGGGAUAGCUUCGGGAAACCGGAGCUAAUACCGGAUAAGAUUUUGAACCGCAUGGUUCAUUAGUGAAAGACGGCCUUGCUGUCACUUAUAGAUGGAUCCGCGCCGUAUUAGCUAGUUGGUAAGGUAACGGCUUACCAAGGCAACGAUACGUAGCCGACCUGAGAGGGUGAUCGGCCACACUGGAACUGAGACACGGUCCAGACUCCUACGGGAGGCAGCAGUAGGGAAUCUUCCGCAAUGGGCGAAAGCCUGACGGAGCAACGCCGCGUGAGUGAUGAAGGUCUUCGGAUCGUAAAACUCUGUUAUCAGGGAAGAACAAACGUGUAAGUAACUGUGCACGUCUUGACGGUACCUGAUCAGAAAGCCACGGCUAACUACGUG
rnacentral:rRNA from 1 species